CGCGGCCUAUCAGCUUGUUGGUGAGGUAAUGGCUCACCAAGGCGUCGACGGGUAGCCGGCCUGAGAGGGUGACCGGCCACACUGGGACUGAGACACGGCCCAGACUCCUACGGGAGGCAGCAGUGGGGAAUAUUGCACAAUGGGCGCAAGCCUGAUGCAGCAACGCCGCGUGAGGGACGACGGCCUUCGGGUUGUAAACCUCUUUUAGCAGGGAAGAAGCGAAAGUGACGGUACCUGCAGAAAAAGCACCGGCUAACUACGUGCCAGCAGCCGCGGUAAUACGUAGGGUGCAAGCGUUAUCCGGAAUUAUUGGGCGUAAAGAGCUCGUAGGCGGUUUGUCGCGUCUGCUGUGAAACCCCGAGGCUCAACCUCGGGCCUGCAGUGGGUACGGGCAGACUAGAGUGCGGUAGGGGAGAUUGGAAUUCCUGGUGUAGCGGUGGAAUGCGCAGAUAUCAGGAGGAACACCGAUGGCGAAGGCAGAUCUCUGGGCCGUAACUGACGCUGAGGAGCGAAAGGAUGGGGAGCAAACAGGCUUAGAUACCCUGGUAGUCCAUCCCGUAAACGUUGGGAACUAGUUGUGGGGGCCAUUCCACGGUCUCCGUGACGCAGCUAACGCAUUAAGUUCCCCGCCUGGGGA
rnacentral:rRNA from 1 species